rnacentral:rRNA from 1 species
GAUGAACGCUGGCGGCGUGCCUAAUACAUGCAAGUCGAGCGAACAGACGAGGAGCUUGCUCCUCUGACGUUAGCGGCGGACGGGUGAGUAACACGUGGAUGACCUACCUAUAAGACUGGGAUAACUUCGGGAAACCGGAGCUAAUACCGGAUAAUAUAUUGAACCGCAUGGUUCAAUAGUGAAAGACGGUUUUGCUGUCACUUAUAGAUGGAUCCGCGCCGCAUUAGCUAGUUGGUAAGGUAACGGCUUACCAAGGCAACGAUGCGUAGCCGACCUGAGAGGGUGAUCGGCCACACUGGAACUGAGACACGGUCCAGACUCCUACGGGAGGCAGCAGUAGGGAAUCUUCCGCAAUGGGCGAAAGCCUGACGGAGCAACGCCGCGUGAGUGAUGAAGGUCUUCGGAUCGUAAAACUCUGUUAGUAGGGAAGAACAAAUGUGUAAGUAACUAUGCACGUCUUGACGGUACCUAAUCAGGAAGCCACGGCUAACUACGUG